CGGCAGCACAGUAAGAGCUUGCUCUUAUGGGUGGCGAGUGGCGGACGGGUGAGGAAUACAUCGGAAUCUACCUUUUCGUGGGGGAUAACGUAGGGAAACUUACGCUAAUACCGCAUACGACCUUCGGGUGAAAGCAGGGGACCUUCGGGCCUUGCGCGGAUAGAUGAGCCGAUGUCGGAUUAGCUAGUUGGCGGGGUAAAGGCCCACCAAGGCGACGAUCCGUAGCUGGUCUGAGAGGAUGAUCAGCCACACUGGAACUGAGACACGGUCCAGACUCCUACGGGAGGCAGCAGUGGGGAAUAUUGGACAAUGGGCGCAAGCCUGAUCCAGCCAUACCGCGUGGGUGAAGAAGGCCUUCGGGUUGUAAAGCCCUUUUGUUGGGAAA
rnacentral:rRNA from 1 species